UGGUAGAGACGGAGUUUCACCAUGUUGGCCAGGCUGGUCUUGAACUCCUGAUCUCAGGUGAUCCGCCCAUUUUGGCCUCCCAAAGUGUUGGGAUUACAGGUGUAGGUCACCAUGCCCGGCCAAUCUCUGUUGUUUAAAGCAAACUUUUUUGUAGGACUUGGUUACAGCAGCCCCAGGAAACUGAAACAGACACAAAGAUAAAAACAACACAGUCCCUGCCUAGCACCUAGCACUAAGUGUGGCGCUAGGGCACGGGAUCCAAACGUGUUAGAGGAGGGACCCCUCUGGUGAGCUCCUUGCAGGCUGAGCAGCUUCACCCUGGCCGUCCCCGACCCUCCCUUUCUUGAGUCAGGAAGUGAUGCUGGGUUACUUAUGUGUUGAUACCUUCUCCAGGGUUUCCAGAGUCUGUGGGUUGAUUUUCCUGAUGUAAUUGGUCUCUGAGGUCGCAUAGAAGUCUUCUCCGCACUUCAUGAUGUUGAUCAGGCAGUUGUCUGUGAAAUCGGGGAUGGUGUGAGACAAGUAGGUGAAAGCUCUGGGGAGAAAAGCAAAUCAACAGAGUCAGUGGCUGUGUCCACCCAGCCAGAGGAGUCUGUCCUUGAUGGCUUUCGUUUUCCUAAAACGUAAAAAUGCUUUACUUCAACUAAGAAAGAAAAAGCAACUGGGUCCCAAUGGGUCACUUGAGGAAUCCUAAGAACUCAGAUAUCAAGUUCCCCAAAGACACCCCCAGGUUGAGUCAGCUAAGAAGUGAGUCAGCCAGAAUGCCAUGGUCACCCGCUGAUCCCUCUCGGGUUCCCUAAAACCCAAAGGUCUCCGACAUCAGAGCCAGCAAGACAUACUGUUCCAAAGUAUGUCAAGAAGUGCUACGGAAAUCAUACAUGAACCCAUAAUGGCUCCCAAAGCCUAACAAGGCAGCUGAUAACGGCUUUGCCAGGAACGUGAGUCCACACUGGUUAUCUCGAAUUUAUCCAGGAAAUUAGUUUUUAAUUUAAAAAGGAAAACAAACUAAUUAUGAGUUAAGAACACAUAGCUCAUUUGCUUAGAAGGUACACUCGAAGCAAGAAGAAAGAAAAACCAGAGGGGUUUAUCGGUGGUGAAAUUGGCAAAUCCUGGAUCGUUUUACUGGGGAGUGCUCCUUCUACUGGCAAAUACUGGAACAACAAGGAGGAUUGGUUCCAGGACCUCCAGGUCAUGGUUUUAAAUUCCUGAUUAUGGUAUCUCCCCUACCAGCUUCUUGAGGCCCUUGAGACCCUUGCCGGAAGCCAAACAGAUGCUGGUGCCUUACUUCCUGUACAACCUGCAGAACUGCGAGCCAAAUAAACCUCUUUCCUUUAUAAAUUA